UACGGAAUGGGGACUUGGCGGUUUCAAAAACAUGCGCACAUUCUUAUAAACAUACCUUCACGUGCUGAUGUUUCCAGCCUUGCCUCAUGACAUCGUCAUGUUCAGUGAAACAGCACGGCCGAGUCUCUUCGAAGCUGCUUCUAUCUCCAUCUGUGCGAGCACGUACUUCGUCUUGAUCUACGUCGAUCACAUGUGCGACAACUAGAUAGUGAAACCAGGCGACCAACGCAAUAGACAGCUUAGUGUUUCUCCAAGAGAGUCUGUUUGUAAAAUGUUUCUGUUCAUAUUGUGUGUGGUGAAGCGAUAGUUGGAAGCACGAGUUGAAGAAUGGACGAUAGGGCGGUCGACUUGAAAGAAAGGCGGUGACGUGUUGUCUCUGUCAUAUUUAUCGUUGUGCUUCCGUCUUCGGUCUUUAGAUGCUAGGAGAUAAAGCAGGUACUUGCUUUCGACCAACGUUUGUUGCAGCGUAUCGCAGUCGACUAGAGGAGAUAUAUGACAGUGAAGAUCACGGAAAUUGCUGCAUCUUGGUUCUUCAAUGUAAGAAUGGUGCGGGAAGCGCAUUGUCAACAUGCAAAGUACUGGCGGCCUCACUAGACGUGGGAAUGUACUUGUACGCGCGUACAUGUCCAUUGUGUAUAAAUUCUAACCAGUGUUUGGAACUGUUUUUAACUAGUAUAACACUAUAGUAUAACAGGAAAUUGUGUGUUUGAAUGGUAUUAAUUAAUUAAUUAGGCUAGCACAUAUUAUGUAAACAGUUCUUUUGAUAACAGCAAGCAAAAAUUGACAAAA